CCUGCGGAGGGAUCAUUGCUGGAACGCGCUUCGGCGCACCCAGAAACCCUUUGUGAACUUAUACCUUACUGUUGCCUCGGCGCAGGCCGGCCCCCCCACCGGGGCCCCUCGGAGACGAGGAGCAGCCCGCCGGCGGCCAACCAAACUCUUGUUUCUUAGUGAAUCUCUGAGUAAAAAAACAUAAAUGAAUCAAAACUUUCAACAACGGAUCUCUUGGUUCUGGCAUCGAUGAAGAACGCAGCGAAAUGCGAUAAGUAAUGUGAAUUGCAGAAUUCAGUGAAUCAUCGAAUCUUUGAACGCACAUUGCGCCCUCUGGUAUUCCGGAGGGCAUGCCUGUUCGAGCGUCAUUUCAACCCUCAAGCCUGGCUUGGUGUUGGGGCACUGCUUCGAGAGGAGCAGGCCCUGAAAUCUAGUGGCGAGCUCGCCAGGACCCCGAGCGUAGUAGUUAUAUCUCGUUCUGGGAGGCCCUGGCGGUGCCCUGCCGUUAAACCCCCAACUUCUGAAAUUUUGACCUCGGAUCAGGUAGGAAUACCCGCUGAACUUAAGCAUAUCAAAA
rnacentral:rRNA from 1 species